AACAGCACUAAUGUUCAAGUCAAAGUGAACCCUUUUAAGCACACAUGCCAGGAAUCAACCCUUAGGAAGGAUACAAUCAGUAGAGCCAAGUCAAGAUGGUUGGCAGAAGAAGUAAAGAAGUGGGUGAAAGAAAACCAGCAAAUGGGUCCAAAGGAAUUGCAGAAGAACAUCAAAGAUAAGUUCAAGAUAGAUUUACCAUACAUGAGGUUGUUCAAUGGUAAACAACAUGCUAUGGAUUCUAUUUAUGGUAACUGGCACGAAAGUUUUCAAUUGUUGUAUUCAUUCAAAGGUGAAGUGGAGAUGACAAGCCCAGGUAGUAUUGUAGAUAUUGAUCACCACACCGUGGAGUACACAUUCAGGGGAGUGACAAAGACCAAGGAAUGCUUUAGGAGGGUUUUUGUUUGCUUUGAGGCUUGUCGCCGGGGUUUUUUGGCAGGCUGCAGGCCUUAUUUGGCUAUUGAUGCCACUUUUCUCACAGGGAGGUUUAAAGAACAGUUAGUAGCAGCUUGUGUAGUUGAUGCACACAAUUUUGUAUUUCCAGUUGCCUACGGUGUGCUGGAGACAGAGUCUGAGGAGAGUUGGACUUGGUUUUUGCAUAAUCUGCGCCGGGCUAUUGCACAUCCCAAUGGGUUGGUCAUUCAUACAGAUGCAUGCAAAGGUUUAGAAGUGGCCGUGGACAAUGUGUUCCCUGGAGUAGAGCAUAGGGAAUGCAUGCGUCACCUUGCUGCAAAUUUCAUGAAGAAAUUCAAAGGAAAGGUGUAUACCGACAAUUUAUGGCCAACAUCUUUGACUUGCAGUGUGAAGAAGCACAACUACCACUUGAGGCAGUUAUACAUGAAUCCCAAAGUGAAAGAAUACUUGGAAACACACCACUCCAAGUUAUGGGCCAGAAGCCAAUUCAGUGAACUGAGAAAAGUUGACCAUGUGCACAAUAAUCUAGCAGAGUCUUUCAAUUCAACAAUCCGGAAACUAAAG
rnacentral:rRNA from 1 species